CCCUUCCUUUAUCCCAGUGGGGCCCAGACCCGCGCAACCAGGCGGGGAGGGGAGGUGGGCGCGCGAUUGGGUUGCGAUCUGGAGCAGUGGGGACAGGUCAGGAACCGGCGCGUAUUUCUGCAGUGAGACCACAGGACGGACAUCGGCGCCUUCGGCUUCGAUGGAGUUGCGAUUUUGCUCUUUCCAGGGAAACAGUGGCAGGGUGUUUGCUGCUUAUCGGUUCCUGCGGAUAUGCCUGGGUCCCAGGACAUUCCACUGGAGGCUUGGACUGCAUUUAGGAGCCCCUAUCCCUUCCCUGUCCACACUGUUAGUGAGCAAUUUCAUAUGUUUGCAUUUAGACCCAUAGACUCAGAACGACUCAUCACACACACACACAGUGUACACUGACACACUCACAUUCGCACACUUAGGUAUACAGCCUGAUCCUUGCUCUGACCUGGUAACAACGCUUCCUCCUCCAGAGACUUUGAGAUAGAGCGAGCGAUCCCUGUGCACCAUUCAUCCAUGCUCCCACCUCGCCAGUAUGGCUGGCUUAGUUCUGGAAGGGGCUUAAGAGGAACAAGCCCCAGCUGUGCUUCUGGCUGGGACUUAAACCCCCCUUCUGGGCCCUAAAGCCACGCUUCUUUGUGGACCGGACCUGACUCUCCAGGAAUCUGGGAACCCGCUAUUUCACUCUAUUUUGGGACAAGAAAAAGGGGCUCUUUGGGGCCACUUCCUGCCUUCCCCUCAAGUAGGAUCUCCAGCCUGCAGAGGGUGCCUAGUCCUUCUUUGCCCAAGAACCAGUCCAAGAAGCCUUUCCUCUGUGCCUGGGAAAUGCAACCUUUUCUUGGGAGCAUGGUAGGGUGUUGGUGCUGAAGAACCAAGCAGCGACCCGUCUUGUAGCUGCCAUGUUUUGUCGAGGGGUUCUGGGGGUCCUGCUGCUUUAGAGCCACAUACUUCCACUUCCUGAUUCACUACUGUGAGCUGGUCAGAUGCCUAGAAGAGGAACAAGCGUUCAAAGUGAAAGUGGGCACAUUACCGGAAUAGUGCUGGGGAGAGUGCUGGAUUCUUUUCCACCCCAGGCGGACUGGUGAGAAGCCAGGCUUGGACCUGUCCUCUGCUCCUAGCUUGCACACUCAGCCCUAAACUCAGAGCAGCACGCAUACCACCCCUCACACACACCCCAC
rnacentral:lncRNA from 10 species